rnacentral:rRNA from 1 species
UCUGACCUAUCAGCUUUCGACGGUAUGGUAUUGGCUUACCGUGGCAGUGACGGUUAACGGGGGAUUAGGGUUCGAUUCCGGAGAGGGAGCCUGAGAAACGGCUACCACAUCUAAGGAAGGCAGCAGGCGCGCAAAUUACCCAAUUCUAACAGCAUAAGAGAGGUAGUGACAAGAAAUAACAAUACAAGGCAGUUAAAAUGCUUUGUAAUUGGAAUGAUAGAAAUUUAAACACUUUUUAAAGUAUCAAUUGGAGGGCAAGUCUGGUGCCAGCAGCCGCGGUAAUUCCAGCUCCAAUAGCGUAUAUUAAAAUUGUUGCAGUUAAAAAGCUCGUAGUUGAAUUUCUGCUAAAAGUAACCGGUCUGCUUUUAACAAAAGUGGUAUCUUGGUGUGUUUUUAGCAAUAAUGUCCUUUGAAAUGUGUUUUACUUUACUGUAAAAGGCAAUAUUCAGGAUUUUUACUUUGAGAAAAUUAGAGUGUUUCUAGCAGGCUAACGUUUUGAAUACUGCAGCAUGGAAUAAUAAAAUAGGAUUUUGGUUCUACAUUGUUGGUUUUAAGAGCUGAAUUAAUGAUUGAUAGGGACAGUUGGGGGCAUUUGUAUUUAACUGKCAGAGGUGAAAUUCUUAGAUUUGA